UACGAAGGGGGCUAGUGUUGCUCGGAAUUACUGGGCGUAAAGGGCGCGUAGGCGGAUAUCUAAGUUGGGGGUGAAAUCCCGGGGCUCAACCUCGGAAUUGCCUUCAAGACUGGAUAUCUUGAGUUCGGGAGAGGUGAGUGGAAUGCCGAGUGUAGAGGUGAAAUUCGUAGAUAUUCGGCGGAACACCAGUGGCGAAGGCGACUCACUGGCCCGAUACUGACGCUGAGGCGCGAUAGCGUGGGGAUCAAACAGG
rnacentral:rRNA from 1 species